CAGGACCAAAAGUGGUGGCACUGUACGAGAACGUACGCUUUAUACGUGGAACGUGAUGUUCGGACAUUCAGUCUCUCGCUUUCUCUACGUUCGCGAGCUACUCGAUCGUGCCGAUCGAGCCGAUCAUCCGCCGUUGACAUCGUGCACGAUCCACGAGGGAUCGGGAUGCGUUGAUUGACAACGUCGGCUCGCUCGGGGGAAAUCAUUCAAACACGCACGUGGGCGGACCUAAUUUCAGAAAUCGUGGAGUGAGUAAUACGAGGACUAUUGCUCUCUGAGUAAUAAGGAAUAUCGUUGCUGCGAGGGAUAUCGAUGUUGAAGCGUGCGCGUGUUUGCAAUUUUUAUUCGAUAAACAUGGAGGCCACUUUCUUUGGGGAUUCUCGGCGAAACGCGCGGGCAACGAUUGUGUUCUUCUCCUCAGUUUAGUGUGCACAGGUGGAUCGCGUGUACAAGGUCACGAGUCGUUAUAACAAUUGUACAAUUAAGGGAGACGGCGUCCACUUAUUAAACACAACUGCAGGUCGUUGAGUGACAAUUGGAACGACGAAGUUUCAUAUUGGCGAACGUAAGCAUCGUUAAUACGAUCAACUGAAAUUUGAACAACUCGACUUCUCGGUGUGCAGCUCACGAGUCAAUAGAGCAUCGAAGAGUUACUUUUCGAAGAAAUUAAGAGAGUUUCGUUCGCUUUGUUCUCGCGAAACUUUGCGAGCAACAAUGACAUCGUUCAAUCUCAGUGUCGUAGAAGCGAAUUUAUCUUGGCACGAACGAGUGUUUGAAGGAACGAGCGUCUCUUCUUUCAAGAAGAAUCAAAAUUCUCGACGUAACGCGCAAAUGUAAUGGGGCAUCGAAGAACAGAGAUAUAAUAAAAAAAGAAAAAAUAAAAUUUUAAAUAUUUGAAAAUUAAAAAAUUAGAGAAUUUUGGUAAAAU